GCUUUCCUAUUUCCUCUUCUUCUUUGUCUCUCUCAUUCUUCUCCUUUUCUUCUUCAACCUUGAUUUUCCAAAUCAAGCUCUACAAACUUUUAGUUAGUGGAAAUCUAAUUCUUCUUUUAAGUUUGAAAGAUUUGGGCUUUCUUAAUCAAGAGAAACAAAGGUUCAUCCAAAGGCAAGGAAGUGGUAAGAGAAAAAGAAUAGGAUUACUUUGUUAUCCUAUAAAUUUUGGUUAGUGUAGUUGUAGAUAACCUUAGCUGUGCAUUGCUCUCUUUGCAUCAGUCAAUAUUAUCAGGUGGGCCAGAGGAGUUAUCUAAAGCAUUGGGGCAUUUUGGAAACUUGUGUGAAUUAAAAUAAUGUAUAAAUAUUCCUUAUAUAUAUUACGUAUGUCAUGCCACUUAAAUUGUAUGAAUGUAUAUUCUAACUAAGUAGUAAAUUAUGUUUAUAAAGUUAAUUAUAUAUAUAUAUAUAUAUAUAUAUAUUGCUAUUCAAUUGGAUGUUUGAGUUGGGGUGCUACAAGUUGGCUCUCACAGAACCUGCUGAAUUACGAGCCUUUGGGACUUAUAUUGUACGAAGAGAGGAGCAGAGAUUGGUAUAGUUUUUAAUGGCCUUUCGUGAUGAGUUUGAGGGACUUCGUUGGUCUAUUCUGCAUCGUCAUCCACUGCCUUCUGUUGAUUCUGUUGUUAGUGAACUUUUGGCUGAAGAAAUUCGUUUGAAGUCCUCGGUUGUAAAAAAGGUUUCUUCAGCUUCUACUCCAUCUGUUUUUGCCAUGCUUCCUCGAUCAAACUCUAAAUCUCAGUUCAGGCCAUAUGGAUCUGUUGCUCGUAAUGAAUGCGGGUUCUGCAAGCAAAAAGGUCAUUAGAAAUCUCAGUGUCCGAAAUUGGGCAGAGGAAAACAACAACAGUUUCAUCAACAGCAGCAGCAACAGUCUCAUCAAUGGUCGUAUCGAUCACCGCCUCUCCACAAUGGACCUCAUCUUCUACCUCGUCCUCACAAUGCCUUGUCAACCUCCUCCUUAGACCCAUCAUUGAUUGAGCAAUUUCAGCAGUUCCUUGCUUCUCAGCCUCAUGUCAUGUUUGCUUCCUCUCAAGUAGGUCCGUCAUUUAGUCUUUCAGGAUCCACAGUCUCAGAAAGUGAUUGGGAUCGGCCAUAGAGAAAGAGGACUUUAUGUAUUAGAUCAACUCAAAACCCCUCACACUGCGGCUGUUGUUCCUGGUGUGAAUUUGUCAUCUUUUCGUUUGAAUCCCUCUUCAUGUGUUUUAUUUGUGGCACUCUCGGCUUGGUCAUGUCUCUGUGUCUCGUUUAAAAUUUUUAGUUUCUACAGGAGCUUUAGGAAAUUUGAAAACUCAUGAUAUUUCUUAUUGUAGUGGUUAUAAACUAGCCAAGUUUAAUGCAUUGCCUUUUCCUAAAAGCACUAGUAUAUUUGUUGCUCCUUUUGAUCUUAUUCAUUCUGAUGUAAGGGGACCCUCUCCUGUUUCUACAAAAGGGGGUUCUCGCUAUUAUAUAUCUUUUAUUGAUGAUUGCA